UGCAACCUGAUCUCAGGCGUGAUUACCCGCUGAACUUAAGCAUAUCAUUUAGCGGAGGAAAAGAAACUAA
rnacentral:rRNA from 1 species